ensembl:lncRNA
UGAUAGGUCUCCCACCACCUCAGCAGCUAUUAAGUACAGUAGCUGCCCUCUUCCUAUGGUGCCUUGCCCCUUCCCCUGUGUGAUGUCAUGCCAAGAUGGUUGCUCCCACCAAAGAACAAACCCUUCUUCCCAGCAUGCCCCUGUUCCCACCUAGACAGUAACCUAAUACUCGCUCACCUCCUACCACCUAGUGACAUCACCGGCUCCUCCACUCCCUGAUCACUACCUCACUCAACCCCACCUCAGCCCCUACAAGCCCCACCCCAGUCUCUAUAAAAGACUCUCCCUGCCCCGGCCAUAUUGCUUUUGUCUCUCCUUUGUUCAGAGACAGCCCGGCAGAUCUAUUCCCCUAAUAAAGGCUUGCUGUGGCCUGGUCUGGUCUUGGUCUUCGGCCCUUUUACCUGACAUUUCUGGUGCCGUGACUCGGAUGGUAGAUGGUCCAUUAAGGGACGAUCCCCCGCAGGACGGGGUUGAUUGACCUUUUGGCCAUCUCCAGCGGACCUAUCUGCCGUUGCCAGGACCCUCCGGGGCUUUCUACCUUUGCCAUUGCUGACGCUACACAUCCACACCGGUCACCAAUGGCUGGCAGGAAGCAGCUCCAGAAGAAGAGACCUUCACCCAACUAUCAUACAACAAAAGCCUGGAAUGAUAGGUCUCCCACCACCUCAGCAGCUAUUAAGUACAGUAGCUGCCCUCUUCCUAUGGUGCCUUGCCCCUUCCCCUGUGUGAUGUCAUGCCAAGAUGGUUGCUCCCACCAAAGAACAAACCCUUCUUCCCAGCAUGCCCCUGUUCCCACCUAGACAGUAACCUAAUACUCGCUCACCUCCUACCACCUAGUGACAUCACCGGCUCCUCCACUCCCUGAUCACUACCUCACUCAACCCCACCUCAGCCCCUACAAGCCCCACCCCAGUCUCUAUAAAAGACUCUCCCUGCCCCGGCCAUAUUGCUUUUGUCUCUCCUUUGUUCAGAGACAGCCCGGCAGAUCUAUUCCCCUAAUAAAGGCUUGCUGUGGCCUGGUCUGGUCUUGGUCUUCGGCCCUUUUACCUGACACCGGUGACCACAUUUUAUGACACAACAGUUUUCAGCCUGUGAAAAUAGUCUCUCGGGAAGAGAUGUGGAACUGUAAGAGGUUAUAGUGUCCUAUCUGACAACUUGCAUGUUUGCAUUAACCCUUUACAUUCAUACAUCAUUGUCUCCUGCUCUGUUGCUCAUAAUCCCCAAGACUCUUGAGAAGUGAGCAGGACUGAAAGGUGCAUCGCAUGGAGUGUAAGUAAAGAGCUUAUUGAGAGUGAGAAUGCAGUUGAUUUGGUUUUUUUUAUGGUACUGGGAAUUGAACCCAGGAUCAAUGGGCUGCCUCUCCAGUCCUUUUAUUUUUUAUUUUGAGACAAAGUCUCACUAAGUUGCCCACACAAGACUCAAACUGGUGAUCAUCCUGCCUCAGCCUCCUUCAGAACUGGGUGUUUUAAAUUUUGUUUUGUUUUUUCAAUCCUACUCCAUUUCUCUUGCUAGGAAAUGACAUUAUUUUAUUAUAAUUUCUCAUUAUUUCCUACAGGAGCCAGCCCCACUGAUUUCAGAGGGCCAUCUAGGGAAAGGUGAAAGAAAUAUGCAUGUUAUCCUAUACACAGAGGGCCUUCCUCUGUCUAAAAGUAAUGCUUGUCCUAGCAAGGCCUUAGUCUGUAUGUGUUCCCAUGUGUGUGAGCUGUUCAGGGAUUACACAUACAUUUUAAAAUAUAUCUAUCAAAAAACCAAUCCAUUGAUCAAUCAAUCAUGUGCCUAAAUUUAUUUUGAAGGUAAGAAAAUGCAUAGUCAUACAUUAAUACCUGUUACUUGGAUUCUUAUAAAUUAGCAAUGUUUUUAAGGAUUCAGGGAGGGGUUUUUGACAGAAACAAAAAUCACUGACUUAAUAUUUGCUUAUAGAUCCAACAAUUUUUAUGAGCUUCUACACACUUGGUAGAUAAUGUACAAGGUAUCAAGAUUGUAAUAUGUAGUCUCUAUUCUCAUAGCUGCUUCUAAUCAAGAAUAAUAUAUUCAAUAUUUCUGUUAGGAGUAAAUUACUAUAUAAGAAUUUCCAUUCAAGCAUAAAAUCAUGUGUCAGAUGGCUAUUACAUCCUACGAGUGCCCCAAGAAGGGGAAAAUAGUGUGUUCUAGAAAGGCAUCUCUGUGAAGGAGCAGAGAAUUGGCUACACCUCGAACGAUGAGGAACAUUUAAACAGGUACAACAGUGGUAGGAGUGAGGUGAUGAACCUGGUUUUAUGUUGUUACUAGAGAAGCUGGACCUGAAUUAAAGUUGAGCAUGUAUUAUCUCAGAUACUUCUGAACCUGGGAGAUGAAGGUGGUUUACCCUGCUACUCUGCUACGUGGUCUGCUUAAGAUGCACUGCCUCGCCACAGGCCAAACCAAAGGGGCCAAUGAAAAUGGGCUGGAACCUCCAAAAGUGAUGUGCAUUCUUCAGAUCUGUCUUGUUUAUAACUGGAAUUAUUGACAGCUGUGCUUCAAAAGCAAGAAAGAAGUUUGCUACAGUUUGGGCUUGAAUACCCUCAUUUGCAUCGACCACCAGUAAAACACCCUGGCAAGCAGAAAGUGACCUGGAUACUUCAUAACUGAAAUCAACAUGGCCUGGUGUAUCAAUAAGAUUUAAAACGUACUCCUUUCCUUCAAAAUUGUAAAAAAGAGAUGCUGUCUGUGCUUUAACAGUGAUUCCUGUUUCUCGUUCCACUUGCAGUUUAUCAAGAACUUGCUUAUUGUCUUAUCAACUGUUCCUGUUAGUUCUAACAGCCUGUCAGCUGAAGUACUUUUGCCAUGAUCCACAUGUGCAAUGAUACUGAAAUUUCUAGUAUCUUCAACAGGAAAUCUAGAUGUGUCUGGUUUUUCCCAAGAUCACAUUGGAGGAGCUGUGGAAGGAUUAAAUAAGCAGAAUGGAGCCCGCGUGCUCCAGGCUCUGCCACCCUAGAAAUAACUGGAAGCGGG